rnacentral:lncRNA from 1 species
UGUACAUCAAGAUCUUAAAUCGUUAUUGUGGCAUAGUGGACCUAAAGGCAAUGAUUUUUCUCUUCUAACAUUCUACACUUUGGAAAAGCUCUAUUUGCUCUCCUGACACUCUUUCCCAACCCCGAUGCUUCAAGAACCUGAUGGGAGAACAUGAGGAUGCUUAUGGCAAACAGAAAGAGCAACAGAGCUUCAAACAUUGUGGGAGAGAUGUACGAGAUAAUCAUUUCUUCGGUAGAAAAAAAAUCUAGUCUCACCUGCCAGGAAGUCUCUCCCUGGAAAUCUGCUGAGCAUGCUGGCCAAGGAAUCAGAGACCAUAAGAAGAUGUCAGAUCCCCUGGAGCUGUGAUUAUAAGAUGGCUGUGAGCCACCAUGUUGGUGCUGAAAAUUGAACCCUGGUCCUCUGCCAGAGCAGUAAGUUCUCCUGACCACUGAGCCAUCUCCGCAAUUUCUGCAUUCA